rnacentral:rRNA from 1 species
GACACCGCGUGUGGGAUGACGGAUCUAGGUUUGUAAACCACUUUCAGGAGGGAAGAAAAUGACGGUACCUCCACAAGAAGCCCCGGCCAACUACGUGCCAGCAGCCGCGGUAAUACGUAGGGGGCGAGCGUUGUCCGGAUUUAUUGGGCGUAAAGAGCUCGUAGGCGGUUCAACAAGUCGGUCGUAAAAGUUCAGGGCUCAACCCUGAAAUGUCGAUCGAUACUGUUGUGACUAGGAUACGGCAGAGGUGAGUGGAAUUCCGAGUGUAGCGGUGAAAUGCGUAGAUAUUCGGAGGAACACCAAUUGCGAAGGCAGCUCACUGGGCCGCUAUCGACGGUGAGGAGCGAAAGCUAGGGGAGCAAACAGGAUUAGAUACCCUGGUAGUCCUAGCUGUAAACGAUGGAUACUAGACGUAGGAACUGGAUUGACGGUUUCUGUGUCGUAGCUAACGCGUUAAGUAUCCCGCCUGGGGAGUACGGUCGCAAGACUAAAACUCAAAGGAAUUGACGGG